rnacentral:rRNA from 1 species
CAGUGGAGUAUGUGGUUUAAUUCGACGCAACGCGAAGAACCUUACCAGGGCUUGACAUCCUCUGACGGUACCAGAGAUGGUGCUUUCCCUUCGGGGACAGAGAGACAGGUGGUGCAUGGUUGUCGUCAGCUCGUGUCGUGAGAUGUUGGGUUAAGUCCCGCAACGAGCGCAACCCCUAUGGUCAGUUGCCAGCAGGUCAAGCUGGGCACUCUGGCGAGACUGCCGUUGACAAAACGGAGGAAGGUGGGGACGACGUCAAAUCAUCAUGCCCCUUAUGUCCUGGGCUACACACGUACUACAAUGGCAACAACAGAGGGCAGCCAUGCCGCGAGGCAGAGCGAAUCCCAAAAUGUUGUCUCAGUUCAGAUUGCAGGCUGCAACUCGCCUGCAUGAAGUCGGAAUUGCUAGUAAUGGCAGGUCAGCAUACUGCCGUGAAUACGUUCCCGGGCCUU